rnacentral:misc_RNA from 1 species
GAUGAAGAACGUAGCGAAAUGCGAUACGUAAUGUGAAUUGCAAAUUCAGUGAAUCAUCGAGUCUUUGAACGCACAUUGCGCCCCCUGGUAUUCCGGGGGGCAUGCCUGUCCGAGCGUCAUUGCUGCCCUCAAGCACGGCUUGUGUGUUGGGCCCCGUCCUCCGAUUCCGGGGGACGGGCCCGAAAGGCAGCGGCGGCACCGCGUCCGGUCCUCGAGCGUAUGGGGCUUUGUCACCCGCUCUGUAGGCCCGGCCGGCGCUUGACGAUCAACCCAAAUUUUUAUCCAGGUUGACCUCGGAUCAGGUAGGGAUACCCGCUGAACUUAAGCAUAUCAAUAAGCGGAGGA